rnacentral:lncRNA from 1 species
ACUCCCUGUUCGGUUCUGUUCUGUUCUGACCACCGGUGCAGACAGCCCCCGUCACGUAGUCCCCACUUGCACAAUGUAUCACGACCCUUUCAUGUGGACCCCUUAGAGUUGUAAGCCCUUAAAAGGGACAGGAAUCUUGACUUCAGGGAGCUUGGUUCUUGAGAUAUGAGUCUACCAAUGCUCCCAGCUAAUUAAAGCCUCUUCCUUCCUAAAACUGGUAUCCGAGAGGUUUUGUCUGUGACUGGUCCUGCUACAUUUCUUAGUUCACGCUACAUUUCUUAGUUCCCUGACCGGGAAGUGAGGUGAUUAACGGAUGGUCAAGGCAGCCCCUUAGGCAGCUUAGGCCUGUCCUGUGGAGCAUCCCUGUGGGGGACUCCAGCCCUGUGACACGGAUCCUGAGAGCACUCCCAGUAGGCCAUCGCCCAGGUGGAAUGCUUUGCCAGAGCAGUGCGCGGCAGACCCCCAUGGAGGAUUAACACAGCGGCUGAACACUGGGAAGGAAUCCGUGCUUGGAGUCCUGACAUCUGGAACAUGGUUUUAUAUUCUUCCAGGAUUGGGCACUGUCACUGCACUCUGGAAACCUCUGUGAACCUGGUCUGGUCUUGUCUGCACACAAACAGAAAUGGCUAGAUGGAACCAAGGCCAACGGAAAGGGUUUGGCCAAGCCCCAAAGAAAAUAAAACGAUUCGACCCCAAGGAGGCAGACAGUCCUGAUUCCGGGCACACGAGGUAAACGCCAAAUGGAAAUCCAACUGUUGCGGAGAGUGAUUGCUCAGAUGGGGCAAAUGUGCUGUGAAAUCAGCCCUUGGAAAAUCAUCUGGCGUUCAUCUUAGUGAAAUCCAAAAACAAUGACUGCCUCCCCCAGCCUGCUCCAGAGGGAGCCUCAGGAGCUCCCCUCGUCGAAGCCCGGAAAG